AAAGAGUUAAAUAAUUAUAAAAUUUAAUGUUGCCAAAUUAUUUUAAAUAAUUAUUUAGAAAUGAAAUGUUAAUCGUUUUUAAAUAUAUCUAGUUUUUUUAGAAAAAAAUUUAAUUUUAAAUUUAUUUAAUAAUAAAAUUAAUUAAUUAAUUUUAUUAAUUUUAAAUUUUAUAUUUUAAGGGAUAAGCUUUAAAUUAAAUUUUUAUAAUAAUAAAUAUUUUUAAGAAAAUUUUAUAAUUUAUAUUGUUAAUAAAUUUUAAUUUAUUAUAAAUAAUUUCAUUAAAAAUAAAAUUUUAUGAUGAUAAUUUAAUUUUUUAUAAAAAAAAAUAUUUAAAUUAUAAAAAUUUUGGUAUAAUGAUAAAAUUAGUAUAUUUAAUAAUAAAUAUUAAUUAUAGAAUUUUUAUUUAUAAAAAUUAAUUAAAAGGAAUUCGGCAAAUAUUUAUUUUCACUUGUUUAUCAAAAACAUGUCUUUUUGUUGUUUAUUUAAAGUCUAAUCUGCCCACUGAUAUUUAAUAUUAAAGGGCUGCAGUAUUUUGACUGUACAAAGGUAGCAUAAUCAUUAGUCUCUUAAUUGGUGACUUGUAUGAAAGAUUGGAUGAAAAAUAUACUGUCUCUUAAUUAUUUUAUAGAAUUUAAUUUUUUAUUUAAAAAGUUAAAAUAAUUUAAAAAGACGAGAAGACCCUAUAGAGUUUUAUAAAUAUUAUUAUAUUUAGUUAUUUUAUAUAUUUAAAAUUUUUAUAAUUGUAUUUAUUUUAUUGGGGUGAUAAAAAAAUUAAAUUAACUUUUUAUGAUAUUUAUACAUAAAUAAAUGAUUAAAUGAUCCAAUUUUAUUGAUUAUAAGAUUAAAUUACCUUAGGGAUAACAGCGUAAUUUUUUUUUUUAGUUCUUAUAAAAAAAAGAGUUUGCGACCUCGAUGUUGGAUUAAGAUAAAAUUUAAAUGCAAAAGUUUAAAAUUUUG
rnacentral:rRNA from 1 species